rnacentral:rRNA from 1 species
UUACUCCUACGGGAGGCAGCAGCUAAGAAUCUUCCGCAAUGGACGAAAGUCUGACGGAGCGACGCCGCGUGGGUGAAGAAGGCAGGAAUGUUGUAAAGCCCUUUUAUAGCUGAGGAAUAAGGUCGGGAGGCAAUGCCCGGCUGAUGACGUUAAGCUAUGAAUAAGCCCCGGCUAAUUACGUGCCAGCAGCCGCGGUAAUAA